GGGUGACCGAAUGUGGGGAGGAAGCGUGGAGCGUAAAUCGUGAGCCGAUGAACAAGAACCGCAUAGAAGGCGCUGCCGAGCAGGGUGAGUGGGCCAUUUACCACGAAGCUCUUGUGACCAAGGCUUGGGCGGCGUAGAUGCGGCGGUUGUGCGAUGAAGGUGU
rnacentral:ncRNA from 1 species